rnacentral:snRNA from 1 species
AGCUUUGCACAGGGGCAGUAUCGUAGCCAAUGAGGUUUAUCCGUGGUGCGAUGAUUUCUAAUUGGAAAAAAAAAAUCUAUCAUUAUUCAUCAGGAACAUACAACCACCAGAAUUAACCCAACAUUGUUCUUGGUUUCUAAGUCUGUUCGGUAAAUCUUUUC